rnacentral:rRNA from 1 species
CCUACGGGUGGCAGCAGUGGGGAAUAUUGCACAAUGGGGGAAACCCUGAUGCAGCGACGCCGCGUGAAGGAAGAAGUAUCUCUGUAUGUAAACUUCUAUCAGAAGGGAAGAAAAUGACGGUACCUGACUAAGAAGCCCCGGCUAACUACGUAACAGCAGCCGCUGUAAUACGGAGGGGGCAAGCGUUAUCCGGAUUUACGGGGGUGAAAGGGGGCGUCGGCGGCGAUGCAAGGCAGAAGUGAAAGCCCGGGGCUCAACUCCGGGACUGCUUUUGAAACUGUGUUGCUAGAUUGCAGGAGAGGUAAGUGGAAUUCCUAGUGUAGCGGUGAAAUGCGUAGAUAUUAGGAGGAACACCAGUGGCGAAGGCGGCUUACUGGACUGUAAAUGACGCUGAGGCUCGAAAGCGUGGGGAGCAAACAGGAUUAGAUACCCGUGUAGUC